GGAGAAGCAGUCACAAAGAGAGGCCUACUAGUCAUAAACUUCUCUCUCACCACUCCUCACUCAUUUUUCGUAUUCUAUCGCACGUUUGUGGCAGAUUGGAAACAUAGGCUCAGGGUAUUGGUAGCAGCAUUGAGAUAGAUCAAGAUAGUCAUAUUCGAGGAGACGCACGAAGGGGAAGGAUGUGUUGCACCGUGUUCGUGAUGAAGAGGAAAAGGUCGCACCGUUCGCCGAUGGGUUUCGUCGCUUGGAGGAGAUAUCGCUAGGGGAGAGCUAAGAAGAAGAAUAAAGGAUGGGGAGUUCGAA